rnacentral:tRNA from 1 species
GCGGGUUUAGCUCAUCCGGUAGAGCGCCACCUUCCCAAGGUGGAUGUGGCGAGUUCGAGUCUCGUAACCCGCUCCA